GUCCCUGUAGCUUACAACAAAGCAUAGCACUGAAGAUGCUAAGACGGUCCUCUAUUACCCAGGGACA
rnacentral:tRNA from 1 species